CAAACCCAAAAUCCUUUCCUUCACUGCCCUCAAAGAAACCUAACAAACGUACAAUCAAAACCCAAGAGUGAAUAUAGCAAAUGAAAGGGUCGAUGCAAUUAUAGAUGAAAUCAAUUGGACGAGGGAGAGGAAGAGAAGAAUACAGAGAGGGGGGAGAAGGCCCAUGGAUCUCCGGCCACAGCGACAUCUGAUGAGGGAUUUGUGUUGAGAGAGAGACAAAGCUCGACCUAGGGUUUCCGAUGGCAGGGUUCUGUCGCAAGUCAGGGUUAUUAGGAUUCGGGUCGAGUUGAUUCAGGUCGAGUUGGAGUGACUUUACGGCGACAGAAACUAACAUGGCGUUGUGGAGAUUUCUGGCGAGACGAUUAGGGUUCCGACGAGCCCUUUCAGUGCAAGACUGCCAUCUCUGUCAAAAAGAUCUGAACCGUUUAUGUGUGUUGGUGUGUUGCUGAUGAUGCCGGAAGCUAUAAAGUCGCUUGCUGUUUGCAAAUGCAUUGCUAGGUGCUAAGGCUCAACUAUUUUUAAGGUUUUUUUUUCUUACCAACCUCAUAACUUAUCACGUCGGUGAGUUUUCGGAUCCCUAUUCUUUGUUAUUUUAGAUUUGUGGUUGUUUUGAUGCAUAUUAAGGUUGAGAUGUGUGAACUGGUUGAAUUAUGGUUUACAUCUGAUGAAAUACGUACAGUAAAAAAAUCUCUAAAUAUAUAUUAAUGUUUGUUGUAGAUUUGCGUUGUUGAUUUGAUUCAUGUUCGGUUCCUCUCACCGUGACAUUAGGAAAGAAAACCAUAAGACAGAAAUCCUACCUUCAUCGGCCGUUAGUGUGAAACCAUCCAUCAUCUCUCCGGCCACCUUUCCGAUUCCGAUGGCUCUGCAUAUCGCCAAACGCCUCCUCCACACCCGAUCUGAUUCGCGCCACUCUCUUUCCCUGCGACGGCAUCGGUCCCGAGAUCGCUGAAUCCGUCAAACAGGUUCGAUUUGUUUUUUGCGGUUAUUAGAUUCAACUGUAUCAUGAUGAUUUGAUGUUUUAUUGUUUAGGUUUUUUAUUGUGUUAUACUGUUGUUAUGUAUGUUAUGUUUGUGGUGCUCGGUGGUUGAAGCACACAUCGCGAUGCAGACGGUCGGGACAUGAUCUGUUUGUGCCCUAGAAGUUUAUCAUGUAAGUUAGAUUCGAUUCGUUCAAGUUUUAGUUUCAUACUGUCAUGUAGAUCAAGUUGGUUGUGACUUAUUGAUGUUUAUAUGUUCAAAUCUAUCAUUAUCUAGGGUUUCACAGUUCGAUUUUUAUGUAUUUAAAUAACAGUCAAAUACAACAACCGUGUUUAUGGAUCUAGCAUCUAUUAAAUUUAUAUGAUACGUAAAAAUAUGGUUUGGACCUUGGGGGUUCAAUUUGGUUGGCCUGUGUAGAUAAGACACUUGUUCUACUAUUAGAUCCUCUGCUACUGCUGCACCCUCUAUCUUUCCCGCGUCUGAACGAACGAACAGGUAUCUCUUCCUCCUUUUUCCUUCAAUUUCACCGGAACUCAUCUCCGUUCCGAUGCUUGUUGCAAGCUCGCACAUUUGUAUCCAUAUUAGGGAUUUGUAAUUCAUAACCCUAAACCCUACCUUUCUUCCUGUUUGUUUUCAGAUCACUUUGUUCGCCAACUGUCUCUUUUCGUUUACAUCCAUCAUGAGGAAGAUGCACCAGUAAGUGUAUCUUUUCUUUUUCUUUGUACUGAUAAUGUGAUUCUACUUACAAUUCAUUGCUACGAAGAAUGACGAAGAGGAGUUCAACACUGGGCCUCUCUCUGUCUUACCGAUGGAAGGAGGGGUGUCACAUCUUCUGUUGGUUGACUCAUCUAUGCGUGGCAACACCUCUCACACCAUCUGAAUGUAGGAAAACGCUGUCAAAAUCCAGAUUGGAUGUGAGAAAUGGUUAUGAAUGGGAUAUUGGUCAUUUUCAUGGAGCUCAAAGACCAAACGUGUUUGAUAUACAGGCAAGGCAACUGAAGGCACAUUUUGGUACUCCGAUAGGGGUGUAAACGUGUCGGGCCGAGUGCGGGCCUUCCACGACUCAAGCUUGGCUCGUCAUGUUUUUAUGAAGCUCGGCUCGGUUCGGAUUUACUUAUUUGAGCUCGAGCUCGAGCUCGGCUUGCGAGUAAAACCCAAUUCUCGAGCUCGGCUCAACUCGGCUAAAUGAUCUAAACGCUCGGCUCGAGCUCGCUUUGAUUUCGCCUAAAUGACCCAAAGCUCGGCUCGAACUCGGCUUGCAAAUGUCAUUAGUUUAAUCAUAUGGGCCUAACUUGAAACCAAUGUGGGUUUUUUUUAGUAUCGGGUUAUAAUAAUCAUUAUCAUUAUAAAUUUUUUUGAGCUUGUUUAGACUCGCAAGCCUAAACAAAUUUUGUAUUUCAGACUCGAGCUCGUUAAGUCUCGAUUUGUAUGUUAAAAAAGCUUUUGAUUCCUCAACAA